rnacentral:rRNA from 1 species
AUUGAACGCUGGCGGAAUGCUUUACACAUGCAAGUCGAACGGCAGCACGGAGAGCUUGCUCUCUGGUGGCGAGUGGCGAACGGGUGAGUAAUAUAUCGGAACGUGUCCAAUAAUGGGGGAUAACGAGUCGAAAGAUUCGCUAAUACCGCAUACGCCCUACGGGGGAAAGCAGGGGAUCGUAAGACCUUGCGUUAAUGGAGCGGCCGAUAUCUGAUUAGGUAGUUGGUGAGGUAAAGGCUCACCAAGGCGACGAUCAGUAGCUGGUUUGAGAGAACGACCAGCCUCACUGGAACUGAGACACGGUCCAGACUCCUACGGGAGGCAGCAGUGGGGAAUUUUGGACAAUGGGGGCAACCCUGAUCCAGCCAUUCCGCGUGAGUGAAGAAGGCCUUCGGGUUGUAAAGCUCUUUCGCAAGGGAAGAAAACUUAUGAUCGAAUAAAUCAUGAGGUUGACGGUACCUUGAUAAGAAGCACCGGCUAACUACGUGCCAGCAGCCGCGGUAA